rnacentral:rRNA from 1 species
GACGAACGCUGGCGGCGUGCCUAAUACAUGCAAGUUGAGCGCUGAAGGUUGGUACUUGUACCAACUGGAUGAGCAGCGAACGGGUGAGUAACGCGUGGGGAAUCUGCCUUUGAGCGGGGGACAACAUUUGGAAACGAAUGCUAAUACCGCAUAAAAACUUUAAACACAAGUUUUAAGUUUGAAAGAUGCAAUUGCAUCACUCAAAGAUGAUCCCGCGUUGUAUUAGCUAGUUGGUGAGUUAAAGGCUCACCAAGGCGAUGAUACAUAGCCGACCUGAGAGGGUGAUCGGCCACAUUGGGACUGAGACACGGCCCAAACUCCUACGGGAGGCAGCAGUAGGGAAUCUUCGGCAAUGGACGAAAGUCUGACCGAGCAACGCCGCGUGAGUGAAGAAGGUUUUCGGAUCGUAAAACUCUGUUGGUAGAGAAGAACGUUGGUGAGAGUGGAAAGCUCAUCAAGUGACGGUAACUACCCAGAAAGGGACGGCUAACUACGUG